rnacentral:snRNA from 1 species
AUGCUGGCCUUGGCAGCACAUACACUAAAAUUGGAAUGAUACAAAGAAGAUUAGCAUGGUCCCUGUGCAAGGAUGACAUGGAAAUUUGUGAAGCAUUCCAUAUGGGG